GAUGAACGCUGGCUACAGGCUUAACACAUGCAAGUCGUGGGGAAACGGCAUUAUGUGCUUGCACAUUCUGGACGUCGACCGGCGCACGGGUGAGUAUCGCGUAUCCAACCUGCCCCUUACUUGGGGAUACCCCGUUGAAAGACGGCCUAAUACCCGAUGUGUUUCAUUGACGGCAUCCGAUAUGAAACAAAGGUUUUCCGGUAAGGGAUGGGGAUGCGUCUGAUUAGCUUGUUGGCGGGGCAACGGCCCACCAAGGCGACGAUCAGUAGGGGUUCUGAGAGGAAGGUCCCCCACAUUGGAACUGAGACACGGUCCAAACUCCUACGGGAGGCAGCAGUGAGGAAUAUUGGUCAAUGGACGCAAGUCUGAACCAGCCAAGUAGCGUGCAGGAUGACGGCCCUAUGGGUUGUAAACUGCUUUUAUGUGGGAAUAAAGUGGCGCACGUGUGCGCCAUUGCAUGUACCUCAUGAAUAAGGACCGGCUAAUUCCGUGCCAGCAGCCGCGGUAAUACGUAUGUCACGAGCGUUAUCCGGAUUUAUUGGGCGUAAAGCGCGUCUAGGUGGUUAUGUAAGUCUGAUGUGAAAAUGCAGGGCUCAACUCUGUAUUGCGUUGGAAACUGCAUGACUAGAGUACUGGAGAGGUAAGCGGAACUACAAGUGUAGAGGUGAAAUUCGUAGAUAUUUGUAGGAAUGCCGAUGGGGAAGCCAGCUUACUGGACAGAUACUGACGCUAAAGCGCGAAAGCGUGGGUAGCAAACAGG
rnacentral:rRNA from 1 species